CGAGAUCAGCGAGCAUCUUGAGACGUAUUUCGACAGGCGGGAGCACGCGCUUGAGACGCUGGAGCUGUCGCGCGGCGCGGGCGCGGGCGAGGAGGCGGCGCGCGGCCUGUACAAGCUCAUCUUCCAGCUGCUGCUGCUGCUGGAGACCAACAACAAGAUGGUGGUGGCCGUGUACCACGCGGCGCUCGACAACAGGGGUGUGGAGAUGAGCAUGAGCGUGUGCGCGGUCCGCGCGGCGCUGCUGGCGAGCGCGGCCGACGCCGACGCCUCGCCCGCGCCCGCUGACGACGCGCGGCUACUGCUGCUCAUGCAGCG